ensembl:snoRNA
CGCAGAUGAUGCCGAUCUCACGAUGGUCUGCCGAGCCCACCAGGGGCCUGACGACGCUGCCACUUGGCUUCACUGAUGCAGGUGA